CGCGCAGGCGGUCGUUCAAGUCGCGUGUGAAAGCCCCCGGCUCAACUGGGGAGGGUCACGCGAUACUGAUCGACUCGAAGGCAGGAGAGGGUAGUGGAAUUCCCGGUGUAGUGGUGAAAUGCGUAGAUAUCGGGAGGAACACCAGUGGCGAAGGCGACUACCUGGCCUGUUUCUUUGACGCUGAGGCGCGAAAGCUAGGGGAGCAAACG
rnacentral:rRNA from 1 species